UUGAGCCACCCGUUCUCGUAUAAUCACCGAAGUUAAGCAACCUCAAGCCUGGUCAAUACCUAAAUGGGUGUCCGCUUGGGAAUACCUGGUGCUGUAAG